ensembl:lncRNA
GCUCUGAUAGCUGUGCUGCCAUUUGCCUCUUCCCAGGUGUGGAUGGUGGUCCACCUUCGGCAAGGUGAGAAAACCUCCAGUCUGUCAGUGCCCGGGCUCUGCAGCCGCUUGUUUUAGAUGCUAAAUUUCCAAGAGCCAAUUUUUAGCAACUCCAAGAGGCAGACACCUGAAGCAGGGUUUGGUCAAGUCACAAACUGCUGCCAGGCUUGGUUGUCAACUUCACUAACAUGCAGAGUGACAAAAGUUAUCCCCUCUUCUUUUUACCAUCACCACAUACCAUGGAAGCCUCAUUCAAUACUUUGAAAUUAAAUAGUAUCCAGGGCUCCUAGAAACUGACUUUGAGGAGCGAGGUGGUCCUCAGGACUGCGUUCCAUCUUCAGUUUUAAGAAAGUCUCUGAACAAGGAGACCUCAGUCGAGUGCGCAUGUAGGGAAUGCCUUUCCUUUCUCAGCAGUGUCUUUUCAGAACUUUACAAAUGCUGUUUGUUUGGACUGUGGGUUUUCUCCUGGCUUCAGAAAAAAAAAAAAAAACUGAACAUGUGAAACUAAUGAAUUCAGCCUGCACUCCCACUUGGAAGCCGCUAUACAGAUGGAGUUUCAUUAACUGUUUGUAUCAGUAACUGCUCCAGAGAAACAAUUCCUGCUCACAUGGAUAAUUAACAGAGCACUGAACGGGACAAGACCACCUCUUACUGUAACUACCUGGCCCUUGCUUUGCUAAACCAUCAGGGUUCAUUCACCCUUCCUGUCUGUGCUUGCCCAAAGCUCAUCUUUCUAUGGGGUCACUGACCGCUUCCACACAACUGCUGCAGCCCACCACCGGCUCUUGCCAAUAUUCCUGGAGUGAUUCGGCUUGGGUCUACACAGAAGAGAAAUCACCCUGUACUUGGGACCCUCAAUAAUGCUAUAGGAGGCAGCGUUCCUCUCCACCUCAAAGACAUACCCUAGCCCGGUGCCUGGCAGACCCUCUCUUUGAUAAUAAUGGCUUUAUCCAUCUUUUAUUAUGAGGCAAGUUUUAACUCUUCAUUUUGGGUUCAAAUUCUCAUGUAAGGUCAUUACACUCGAGCUUUUAAGAUUCUCCCCCUCAGCCCUGCAAAUUCAGGUAGAAAGAUAUUUCAGUUCUUGUCUGCCUUAACCAGGUGUGCAAUGUUAGCAGGGCUGUGCUUUCUCACAGCUGUUGCUUUUUAUCCAAGAAGUGGCUGUAUUUCAGAGG